AGCGAACGCUGGUGGCAGGCUUAACACAUGCAAGUCGAGCGGGCGUAGCAAUACGUCAGCGGCAGACGGGUGAGUAACGCGUGGGAACGUACCUUUUGGUUCGGAACAACACAGGGAAACUUGUGCUAAUACCGGGAUAAGCCCUUACGGGGAAAGAUUUAUCGCCGAAAGAUCGGCCCGCGUCUGAUUAGCUAGUUGGUAGGGUAAUGGCCUACCAAGGCGACGAUCAGUAGCUGGUCUGAGAGGAUGAUCAGCCACAUUGGGACUGAGACACGGCCCAAACUCCUACGGGAGGCAGCAGUGGGGAAUAUUGGACAAUGGGGGCAACCCUGAUCCAGCCAUGCCGCGUGAGUGAUGAAGGCCCUAGGGUUGUAAAGCUCUUUUGUGCGGGAAGAUAAUGACGGUACCGCAAGAAUAAGACCCCGGCUAACCUUCGUGCCAGCAG
rnacentral:rRNA from 1 species